rnacentral:tRNA from 1 species
GCCGAUAUGAGUGAUUUCUUCAACGUCGCUCAACAGCCCGAAAUAGGGCUCGAAUCUGAUUCGUAAUCAGUAGGUCGGAGGUUCGACUCCUCUCAACGGCACCA